GAUGAACGCUGGCGGCGUGCCUAAUACAUGCAAGUCGAGCGAACGGACGAGAAGCUUGCUUCUCUGAUGUUAGCGGCGGACGGGUGAGUAACACGUGGAUAACCUACCUAUAAGACUGGGAUAACUUCGGGAAACCGGAGCUAAUACCGGAUGAUAUUUUGAACCGCAUGGUUCAAAAGUGAAAGACGGUCUUGCUGUCACUUAUAGAUGGAUCCGCGCUGCAUUAGCUAGUUGGUAAGGUAACGGCUUACCAAGGCAACGAUGCAUAGCCGACCUGAGAGGGUGAUCGGCCACACUGGAACUGAGACACGGUCCAGACUCCUACGGGAGGCAGCGUAGGGAAUCUUCCGCAAUGGGCGAAAGCCUGACGGAGCAACGCCGCGUGAGUGAUGAAGGUCUUCGGAUCGUAAAACUCUGUUAUUAGGGAAGAACAUAUGUGUAAGUAACUGUGCACAUCUUGACGGUACCUAAUCAGAAAGCCACGGCUAACUACGU
rnacentral:rRNA from 1 species